rnacentral:misc_RNA from 1 species
GUUACAGAAGAAGUGGUAAUGAUACAUGAAGAAAAAGAAAGUCCAAGUUAAGAUAAAAAGUUAAAAUCAAAGGGUAUUGUUAAGGAGUCAAGUAACCAUACAAGACGUGAAAGAACUGAGAAGAUACUUUGUAAUAUUAGCCGAUGAAAAGAGCGUGAAGAUGCAUCGCAAAACAUAAAGGCUAAAGACAACUAUAUAAGAAUUGAAGACUCUUAUGAUCAAGACAGAUAUGGAGUUCUAAAGCAAGAGAAUGAAAGUAGCAUCAUAGAGAGUCGGUGUUGAGGGGGAGUAUUGAGUAAACAUGCUUUAGAGGAUUCUUGUAAGAUGGGCAAAAUUUUAUUACUU